UACGGAGGGUGCGAGCGUUAAUCGGAAUUACUGGGCGUAAAGCGUGCGCAGGCGGUUUGUUAAGCCAGAUGUGAAAGCCCCGGGCUCAACCUGGGAACCGCAUUUCGAACUGGCAGACUAGAGUCUUGUAGAGGGGGGUAGAAUUCCAGGUGUAGCGGUGAAAUGCGUAGAGAUGUGGAGGAAUACCGGUGGCGAAGGCGGCCCCCUGGACAAAGACUGACGCUCAGGCACGAAAGCGUGGGGAGCAAACAGG
rnacentral:rRNA from 1 species